rnacentral:rRNA from 1 species
GAUGAACGCUGGCGGCGUGCCUAAUACAUGCAAGUCGAGCGAACAGACGAGGAGCUUGCUCCUCUGACGUUAGCGGCGGACGGGUGAGUAACACGUGGAUAACCUACCUAUAAGACUGGGAUAACUUCGGGAAACCGGAGCUAAUACCGGAUAAUAUAUUGAACCGCAUGGUUCAAUAGUGAAAGACGGUUUUGCUGUCACUUAUAGAUGGAUCCGCGCCGCAUUAGCUAGUUGGUAAGGUAACGGCUUACCAAGGCAACGAUGCGUAGCCGACCUGAGAGGGUGAUCGGCCACACUGGAGCUGAGACACGGUCCAGACUCCUACGGGAGGCAGCAGUAGGGAAUCUUCCGCAAUGGGCGAAAGCCUGACGGAGCAACGCCGCGUGGGUGAUGAAGGUCUUCGGAUCGUAAAACUCUGUUAUUAGGGAAGAACAAAUGUGUAAGUAACUAUGCACGUCUUGACGGUACCUAAUCAGAAAGCCACGGCUAACUACGUG